UACGGAGGAUGCAAGCGUUAUCCGGAAUUAUUGGGCGUAAAGCGUCCGCAGGUGGCACUUCAAGUCUGCUGUCAAAGACCGGGGCUUAACCCUGGAAAGGCAGUGGAAACUGAAGCGCUAGAGUGUGGCAGGGGUAGAGGGAAUUCCCGGUGUAGCGGUGAAAUGCGUAGAGAUCGGGAAGAACACCCGUGGCGAAAGCGGCUCUCUGGAACGGUACUGACGCUGAGACGCGAAAGCGUGGGGAGCGAACAGG
rnacentral:rRNA from 1 species